rnacentral:rRNA from 1 species
UACGUAGGGUGCGAGCGUUAAUCGGAAUUACUGGGCGUAAAGCGUGCGCAGGCGGUUCGCUAAGACCGAUGUGAAAUCCCCGGGCUUAACCUGGGAACUGCAUUGGUGACUGGCGGGCUAGAGUGUGGCAGAGGGGGGUAGAAUUCCACGUGUAGCAGUGAAAUGCGUAGAGAUGUGGAGGAAUACCGAUGGCGAAGGCAGCCCCCUGGGAUGAUACUGACGCUCAUGCACGAAAGCGUGGGGAGCAAACAGG